CCAAGUUUAGAGAGCACACAAUUAAAGUUGUUCAGUUGCUGCAACAAAACUUCGCUUUUAUGAAACUUCGUCGAAAUAAAAUCGAUAUGCCAUGCAGAGAGAAAGGUCAGUAUUAAAUUUAGCUAUUUUUUAAACGUUUCUGAGUUGUUGUUCUUAAGUUAUUUGUACACACGUGUUUUUUGAAACACGUGUGUACACUCAUUCAUUGAUGUAUUGAAUUCGAUUCCAUUCAAGCGCUUCGUUUCGGCGCUUUUAGUCGCUUUAUUUUCUUGGUGUUUCUCCCUCAUUUUAUAGCAGUAAUGUUCAGAAAUACCUCAGCUUUGAUUUAUUUAACUCAUAUUUAGUUAAUCUUCGAUUUCAGGGCGAAAAUUUGAAGAGAAAGUGAACUAAUUUAAGUCGCCGACAUGGUCGAAAACGCAAAGUACUUGGUAAGUAUAAAUGGCCACUAAAGGCGUUUCCUUAACUGUUGUUUCUAAGCUUUCCUUAUACAACUAGAACGUCUUCUAGUAAAGCCUUGUAGCUUUAUGAACACUCUCUGUCAAAUUAAUUUGGUUAAAAUUUUGUUGAAACUUUUAUCCGUACAGAACGAAAUGCCGACUUAUUUUAGGCAUGUUGAAUUCGACAUGCAUUUCAAACAUUUUAGCUUCUAUAAACUUGUCGUUAAUGUACAAAUUGUACUCUGAGAGGGAAGGCUAAGCUUUUUGAAGUUGAAUUUAACCCAAAUGUUUUGAAGAAGUUCAGAGAUGAAAUGUCCUCGUGGUUCAUGCCCUGAUAUUAAUUUUAUGCAUACAUGCAUGCACGCAUUGUGGACAUAACCACACCCUGUGUAAACGAUGUUAAAAUUAUUCUCCACUGUCAAAACUAAAAAUGCAUUAUCCAACUUUUUUUAGAUUGCCCCAAUUUCGAUCAUUUUGCCUCCAAACAGUGCAGAAAGACCUCUGAAGAGACGUUCACCUACCAGGCGAAACGCAAAACGAGAAGACGAGAAAGCCGAAAGGCAUGCAAAUGAAGACCGCCAUCAGCUAACCUCACAGCUUUUAUCGUCGCAUUUCGUUUGUACCACGUUUGGACGAGAAAGUAGCCAAGACAUAUAAUACCAUACUCGAACGGUCGCUGUUUCAGCGUAGGCAGAGACAAUAACAUCAGAAAGCUGUGGAUUGAUUCAACUGCCUGAAAACUACAAGUAAAACUUAAUACCAUAGUCUGACAGUGACGGAACGCUCGAAAGCAGAUACACCCAUCAUCAGAUUUCGCUCGGCCAGUCAAUUGUAAAUGGGUGCCAAGACCUGUCAAGCCACGAUGCACCAUCCAGCGACUCUAUCACCAUUGUUUCCAAGACUGGCAUGAGGGAUUGCCUACCAAAACCAGCCUAUGAAAAGGCGUGAAAGACGCUGUACAUUACAGAAGGUAUAUUUUUCUCGUGAUUUUCGUUGGUCGUGUUCGAAAGGCGUGUGGGACCACCCUGAGGACGCCCAAACGCACAAAACAGAUUUAAAUGUGGCACCUUUUCCUUAAUUUCGCAAUUUAUUCAAUUUUCUUACAUUUCUUGGAAUUUGUGAAAAACUCUUAACGAAAUCGAAAUGUUUGAAAUUCGGAAGGUUUUAUCUGGGAGUUUGUUUAUUUGAAAGAUAUUUGAAAUGAAAUUUUAAAAUUUACGUCACUUUGGCAUUUGGUUUAAACGCUAGGUAAAAUUAUGCCAGAUGAGUGACCAACCAUUCGUCGAGGUUUGGUGAUACUUCGCCUUGGACUUGUCCGACCUACAGUCGAGUUGCUCUGAUCGAUUGUCGUGAUAAACUAGCGCAGGUGCAAGGUCUGGUCAACCUUACAUCGGUGCUUUUUGUUCGUGGCAUGAGAUUGGCACAGCUCGCCUGUAGGCCUGGAAAGAUCAAGCCGAAGAACCACCAAACUUUGAUUUGUGGUCGGUUUUUUGUCUGUAUGGUUUUAUUCAACGUUUUCCCGUUACCAUUUUGAUGCAGACUUUGGGAUUUUGGCUUGAAUAUCUUUGAUAUAAACAUUCUUUGAGGUUUAAUCUUUCACGAAUUUCAUGGUUUUUGACUAGUUAAUGUGUUGCUCGCAGAUAUAUAAUUGUAUUUAAAAAAAAAAUGAACCAAUAGAAUUUAAAAGUGACCAAAACGUCAUUUGAGGUGUCCGAUGGGAGGUCCAGUGGGAGUCGCAGCGGAUAUCAAUGGAUAAAUACGGAUUACUGGAGAUCGAUACCCUGUGAACAUAGUGGGUUAUUAUGAACAUUAAUGGGUUAUUAUGAAUAUUAAUGGUUAUUAUGAACAUUUUAACGGAUUAUUAUGAACAUUGAUGGUUACAACGAAAACUUCAGGAUUAUUGUGAACAUCGACGAUUAACCUGCCAAUGUACGUUGAUAACGAAAGCUGCACGACGGCAACGAGAUGACUGCCUCAAGGUUAGAGGAUUUGAUUAUUAGUUUGAUAACAGGCAGUGGUUAGCUUGUUAUCAGGCAGUAGUUAAGGGUUAGCCUGCUAUCAGGCAGUAGUUACCCAAGACUCUAAUUUGCAUGUGUUCGGUGAAGUCUUUGGGAUAAACCGGUUUAAAAUUCCUGGCGGUCUGUCGUUAGUUGUACAUUUGCACACAAGGUUGACUUUUAUUCAGAUGUUUGCAUGGUAAUAAAAAAUGAGGCACUAUUUUGACCUCAGUUAAUCAGAAUUUCGAUAAUCACCUGCAAUCGAAAGUCAAUCUUGAUUAAGAGGUUGACAUUUGAGCUUUGGGUCACGUGGUUCGUUGCAUGCACUCGGUU